AUUGAACGCUGGCGGCAGGCCUAACACAUGCAAGUCGAACGAGUGGCGGACGGGUGAGUAAUGUCUGGGAAACUGCCCGAUGGAGGGGGAUAACUACUGGAAACGGUAGCUAAUACCGCAUACCAUCGGAUGUGCCCAGAUGGGAUUCCCUAGUAGGUGGGGUAACGGCUCACCUAGGCGACGAUCCCUAGCUGGGCUGAGAGGAUGACCAGCCACACGGGAAAUGAGACCCGGUACAGACUCCUACGGGAGGCAGCAGUGGGGAAUAGUGCACAAUGGGCGCAAGCCUGAUGCAGAAAUGCCGCGUGUAUGAAGAAGGCCUGCGGGUGGUAAAGUACUUUCAGCGAGGAGGGGGUAAACGAAGAAGAAGCACCGGCUAACUCCGUGCCAGCAGCCGCGGUAAUAG
rnacentral:rRNA from 1 species